GUUAUGUUACAAUGAAAGGAUUUUAAGAUAUGUUGGUAUAGUCUCUGAUGUUAUUGAAAAAUAGUAAUAGCACUAUAAAUUAUAAAAGUACAUGCAAACGUAUUAUUAUACACUUUAAAAAAUGCUGGGUUAAAAAUAACCCAAGUUAAAUAUGGACAACCCAGCGAUUGGCUUGUUUUAACCCAGCGGUCGGGUUGAUUUAACCCAGCGAUUGGGUUAAAUGUUUGACCCAACCUGCUGGGUAGUUUUAUUUAUCUCAACCAUUGUUUAAAAAUUACUAUAUUGCUCACUUAAAAUGAACCCAAAAUACGUUGGGUUGUUUUUAACCCAGCAUUUUUUAGAGUAGUAUUCCUUUGCAAAGUCUAAUUCUAUAAAACUUAAUAGCUCUUAAUCGGUUUGCUCUUAGCAGUUGCUUUUGUUUCCUUCCAGAUCAGAGACAGCUUGUAAGAUUACAGACCAAGAGCUUCUAGAUUAGUGUGAAUUUCAGCCCAAUGGAGAUUAUGCACCGUUAAACCAGACCCAGAACACAACACAUCCUGACCACUGUGAUCUGUCUAGAAUGGAUAUCAGUGUCUCUGUGCUCCGGCCUGUGUCAGAUUUCUGUGCUCGGGUAACAGAAGCGCUGCUGUCCAUUACUCUCAUAAGGACGCUGACUUUCAGCCAUGCAAAGUGUGAAUGAAUUUACACGCUGACUGAAAACAAGCAGGAUGGCUGGGUCAGGAAUUGCUCUGAGGUUGCAUGAAUUUAAGGAAAGUCAGGACACCCAACAUCAACCAACACAUGUCGCUCGUCGUCAGGGCCGAGAUGUCCUGGGACUGUAUCCUGGACAGAUCGCGAGAGUUCAUACCAUCAGUUCACGUCUGCACAGAUCGACACAGAAGACUCCAGACCUGCUUCGUGAUGAAUCUAGUGUAGCGCAGCAUUAUCAGAGAAGAAACUUCGAUCUGCUGAGCCUGCAGGCCUCACUUCUGUCGGGUCACAGCGGACAACACUUACCCUCUCAGCUGUCUAUAGGCGCAGAUGUCCAGAAGUUCACGCUGAGUUCACAUCCAGCCCCGCUGGAGGAAUGGUGGGACAUAAAGAGAUGAUCAGCACCUCUACCUGACCCACCACAUCCAAAACACAUGAAGCUCCUAUCAAAGUCAUGAUCAAAACCUUUUGAUUGAAGAAAAAAAAUUCUCCCUGGUGGAAUGUGAUUACACAAUGACACAGCAGAUCUGCCAGAACUGUCACGCAAAACAUGCGUUUGAGUUAUUUUUCCACUAGCACACAACCAAAACCAUGAAAGCCACAAAGAUAUUUCAGGCACGUCUGUAAUGAUCAGCCUUAAAAUAGAGAAAGUAGUACACAGUAUCAUAGAAUAAAAUGUGAAUUAUAAGAAUUUUGGGUGACUACGUUAAGGUGACUAAUUCAUGCUGUUUAGAUUUACUUCAAAGUAAAACAUUAGAAUGGCAUAAUCUCAAUCAUACAUUGGUUAAAUCCUGUAACUAUGUAAAUAUUUAAAUAUCCCAAAGCAAUUCAUUAGAUGAUCAAACAAAUGAGGACUAACAAGUGAGCAAUAAUCUCCACCUGCAUUUAAACCUUUAUUUGACAAAGGACGUAACAUAUUUAAUCAUAUUUAUCUAUUUGAUAUAAGAUAAUCACAGCAGCGAGAGACUGACGUCCUUAUUGGCAUAUGUGGAUAUCUAAACGUCUGAGUCAUGCCGAUUUGUCUUGUGUUCACAUCAAAAAUAGCACAAACUCUUCUGAACUCUCUUGACUUACUGCAAACUGAUCCCUCGCUAUAGAAACACUGAACAAUUCAAGUUUAUCUUUCUCAGACUAUUGUCAGAUGGCUCCAGUCUUCUCUGAUAUUUAAUACUUGGUUUGUAACUCGUGAUCAUGUUCCUCAACUGUACGGUUCAUUGUUUGUUGUAUUUUCGCACCAGAUUGUACAUUUGUUCAAUGAGGGUGUGUAUGA